GUCAGGAUAGCCGAGCGGUCUAAGGUGCCAGAUUUAAGCUCUGGUUCUCGAAAGAGAGUAUUGGUUGGAACUCCACUCCUGACA